rnacentral:lncRNA from 1 species
GAUAAGUCCUCAGAAAAUCAUCUGCAACUGCAAUGUCAUCUUCAUGUUUGAAGAGUGACUCAGAUCAAAGCUCUGAGACUUGGUGAAUCAGGAAAUAACUUUUCUCUUGGCAGCAAUUGCCAUCACUUGGGUUUAUCAAAUAAGAUUUUAAUCUCCAACCCCUGUGUCUCUAGCUAGGUGGAGAGAUGAAUGACCUCCAGGAGCUCUUCCAGCUUUUUGGAACCAGGAAAGCUUCCUACAGGACUGGAGGAGUAGGAGAGUGUAAUGUGAGAGACCCCUGGACCAGAGUCACCUUGGCGCCUUCUGACAUGCAGCAUGUCUGAGUCAUAAACUCUGGACUCAUCUCAGGGCUGGGCAGGGUUUUCAAAUCAUUUGCCACUCCCUGUCCUAAUGACUGGAACUUUGGAACACAUCUGUUAGAAACAGGUGAGAGGAAAUGCUCUUCUUGAGGCUACAUAUAUCAUCUAUGGAUAACUCUGUGCUGUGGUCAGAAUAUGUGGCCCUAAAAUUCAUAUGUAAACAUACUCAUCUCUAGUGUGAUAGUGUCUGGAGAUAGUGCUUUUGGGAGAUAAUGAGGUUUAACUCUGGUCAUGAGUUAGUGCUCUUAUAAGAGGAGACACGAGAGCUUGCUUUUGUUCUGCUCUCUGCUAUGUGAAGAUAUAUCAAGAAGACAGCCAUCUGCAAACCAGGCUGUGAGUCCUCACCAGAUUCUGGAUCUGCUGGGACCUUGAUCUUGGACUUCAGAACUGUGAGAAUAUACAUUCUAUUGUUUAUCUCACCCAGUCUAAGGUAAUUUGUUAUGGUAGCGAGGCUGAAGUCACUCUUAUUAUUAAGCAGUUUCCUCACACUCU